rnacentral:rRNA from 1 species
CCUACGGGUGGCAGCAGUGGGGGAUAUUGCACAAUGGGGGAAACCCUGAUGCAGCAACGCCGCGUGCAGGAAGACGGCUCUAUGAGUUGUAAACUGCUUUUGUACGAGGGUAAAUCCCGAUACGUGUAUCGGGUUGAAAGUAUCGUACGAAUAAGGAUCGGCUAACUCCGUGCCAGCAGCCGCGGUAAUACGGAGGAUUCAAGCGUUAUCCGGGUUUAUUGGGUUUAAAGGGUGCGUAGGCGGUUCGAUAAGUUAGAGGUGAAAUCCCGGGGCUCAACUCCGGCACUGCCUCUGAUACUGUCGGGCUAGAGUUUAGUUGCGGUAGGCGGAAUGUAUGGUGUAGCGGUGAAAUGCAUAGAGAUCAUACAGAACACCGAUUGCGAAGGCAGCUUACCAAACUACGACUGACGUUGAGGCACGAAAGCGUGGGGAGCAAACAGGAUUAGAUACCCGAGUAGUC